rnacentral:rRNA from 1 species
AGACCCGAAACCCGGUGAUCUAGCCAUGGGCAGGUUGAAGGUUGGGUAACACUAACUGGAGGACCGAACCGACUAAUGUUGAAAAAUUAGCGGAUGACCUGUGGCUGGGGGUGAAAGGCCAAUCAAACCGGGAGAUAGCUGGUUCUCCCCGAAAGCUAUUUAGGUAGCGCCUCGUGAACUCAUCUCCGGGGGUAGAGCACUGUUUCGGCUAGGGGGCCAUCCCGGCUUACCAACCCGAUGCAAACUGCGAAUACCGGAGAAUGUUAUCACGGGAGACACACGGCGGGUGCUAACGUCCGUCGUGAAGAGGGAAACAACCCAGACCGCCAGCUAAGGUCCCAAAGUCAUGGUUAAGUGGGAAACGAUGUGGGAAGGCCCAGACAGCCAGGAUGUUGGCUUAGAAGCAGCCAUCAUUUAAAGAAAGCGUAAUAGCUCACUGGUCGAGUCGGCCUGCGCGGAAGAUGUAACGGGGCUAAACCAUGCACCGAAGCUGCGGCAGCGAACGUAUCACUUAAAACGAUUCAGAAGCUUACGAUUGACGGAGCGAAGCGACGUCAAAGCGUAUACAAAGUCGAGUCGGUUUAAGGAUACGUU